ACUUAAAUAGAAUGAAAGAUAUGAUUAAAAUAAAUUGGAUAGAGUCAGGUAAGAAUAGUAGUAGGCAUAAGGUUCAAAUAAAGCAUAGUAUAUUUAUAAAUACAUUUUAUAAUUCUUUAUUUCAAAUCCAUUAAGGGUGAUAUAAAUUUAUUCGUCCGGGAUUUAUUUGACUCGCGCUGUUAUAAAGCGUAGGGAAAUAACUGGUGAUUGGUCACCAUGGGCCAAUCAGGAGCUCGUAUUGUGAACUGCUGACCCGACCUUGAAAGUUGUAAACAACAACACACAUGUGUAAUGGCUGCGCCCAUGAAAGAACGUGAAUCGACUGAUAUUUCAUCAAAUUUACGCUGUAUUAUUCAUUACCAAGGAUUUAGAAAGGAACGAGAACAAUUAUUUACAAAAUCUCGCUGGGAUAAAUUCCGUGAAUGUGCCCAUGAAUGGCUAAAACUUGAUGGGCGAGCGAAAUGGAUAGCUGAACAGGCGACAUCGGGUGAUAUAAUCAAACAAGGAACUUAUCGACGCGCCAAAAGAUACUGGAUUUCACCCAACAUGCUACAGGCCUUUUACAGACAAAUUCCGAAUUGGGUCUGCCCGUAAUCGUAUAGAUAAAGAAAAAUUAAAAUCCCCGGCUACAAUCCAACCAGGGAAUAGCGGGAGUGUAGACGAUCUGGGACCUAGCUCUCCAAACAAAUUACGCUCCUGAAGCAAAAAGAAAGAGUAAAUCGGUGCUGCCUGUUGUGUGUAUUAUAUGUAAAAAACGUGACAGAUUUGUCACUGUUGGAGAAAAUAGGAAGAAGGAUGUAUUAACACAGACUCAGACCCAAACAGGCUCAGGCCAACUGUUGAAAGCUGCUGAAUUGAAAGGCAUAUCAGAGGGCAAGAUUGUGUGGCCAUUGAGGUCAGAUAUCACCAAAAAUGUUAUAGGCAAUAUACAUGUACUGAAUUUCUUAGACAGUUAUCAGAAAGCAAAGAUGACUAGCCCUCCGUCGAAUAUUAAACCACAUACAAUAUAUUCUGUGAAGAUGUCAUAAGAGAAAGAAUCAUAAAUGGCCAGCAAAGUUGUCUUGUACAGAGAGAGAGAGAGAGAAAUGGGGUUUAACGUCCACUCAACACAAACUAGGUCAUUUUGGGACUAACAUACGGUUUCAAUUUUAUUUCAAUAAUUCGCUUGCGCAUAUGGGUCUUUAGCAGUGAGAGGAAACCGGAGUGCCCGGAGGAAACCCACGAGGUUGAGAAGACGCCUCUAUCUCCAUGCCACAUACGCUCACACCUGGGAUCAAAGCCACAGCCACAAGCCAGAGGUGACCGACCAGCUAGAGGUCGAAGCGCGGCACUCUAGGCCAUCCCAACCCCCCUUUCUUGUACAGACCUGUGCAUGUGUAGUCAAUGUGAAAAUGAAAAAAAAACUGUUAAAGAGACCGAAUUUGAUGUUAAUACAUUUAGUGACAGUGAUGAUGAUAAUGAAGAUUAACUUUGAUGACAUUUGAUGUGCAGAGUAACUGUUUAAUUUUGAUUUUCAAUGAUUGUUUCACUUUAAUAAAUAAUUUCACAACUGUUCAUC